rnacentral:rRNA from 1 species
GACGAACGCUGGCGGCGUGCUUAACACAUGCAAGUCGAACGGAAAGGCCCUGCUUUUGUGGGGUGCUCGAGUGGCGAACGGGUGAGUAACACGUGAGUAACCUGCCCUUGACUUUGGGAUAACUUCAGGAAACUGGGGCUAAUACCGGAUAGGAGCUCUUGCUGCAUGGUGGGGGUUGGAAAGUUUCGGCGGUUGGGGAUGGACUCGCGGCUUAUCAGCUUGUUGGUGGGGUAGUGGCUUACCAAGGCUUUGACGGGUAGCCGGCCUGAGAGGGUGACCGGCCACAUUAGGACUGAGAUACGGCCCAGACUCCUACGGGAGGCAGCAGUGGGGAAUAGUGCACAAUGGGCGGAAGCCUGAUGCAGCAACGCCGCGUGCGGGAUGACGGCCUUCGGGUUGUAAACCGCUUUCGCCUGUGACGAAGCGUGAGUGACGGUAAUGGGUAAAGAAGCACCGGCUAACUACGUG